UCCGUGGCAGCCUGGCUCCAACAUCCCAGGGAAUUGUGUCACUCCCAUUGAGCAGCUGUGGGGCCCUCUCCCACAUGGCCCAGGUCCACCACUCUGUCAAAGGUCGCACAGCCCAGACAAAAACAGGACACAGCAGUGUGUGAAUGAGCCGGGCUUUCUCCUUCCCUCCACGUAAUAGAAGGUGCCUGAGGUUGUUGAAACACAGUCCAUUUCUCCUGGGAAUGACAAGAAUUUGAGGGAUGCUGACUUUCAAGGAAUACUGCAUGACAGGCAUCAAGAUAAACCUGAUGAAGAAAACAUAGGCCAGAAUCUGGGAAUCGGGAGCAAAGUAAUACAGCUUCGGGGACAGGCACGUAAUGAGGUCAUGAUGUAGGAGACUCCCUGCAGGACUGGCGGCCCCUGUUCCCUGGGUUGUUCUGGCUCUUUCAGAACCUGACCCUGGAACAGGACUGAGCAGGUGCCUGUGUGCACAGAAGACCUUGUGUGAGUCCUUUGGUACCACGUUUGCUGCACGAAUGUCUGAGACACCUCACAGUCGCUUGGUUCAGCCUCUCCCUCCUCUCUCCGCUGGGGAACAUCAUCCCUCAUCACUGGAAGAAAUUACAAGGAUUGUGUAAACAAUUACAAGUAUUCUACAAACAGUGAGCAUGCUGGUUUGGCCCAUCUAUUUGUAAGAAAAAACAUGGGGUUUUAUGGCAAUGAGUUACAGCUCUGAACUCCUGGCACAAUCACAAAUAUCCUCAGCACAAAACACCAAGUGUAUGUCUCCCUUCUGUCCUAAAAGGGUAGUGUGUGCAACUCAUUGAUGGGGCUCCCAUUUCAUUUUUGAAAGAUCUGCUCACUGAUAAUACCAGUGAGAUUGUUUUCACCAAGAUCUAUGACAUACAAAUAAACUGUUGCUUCAAAAGCAUCUAGCGGCCAAUUGCUGAUCAUCCAAGUGACAAAAAGCUAACUACUUCAUUCCUAAUUAUUACUGCACACUGCUCACAAGCAUCUCUCAAUCCGUUACCAAUUUUAUCCUUGACUCCUGAUGAAACACAAAUCUCUUUGAUCAGGUUAUCACAUGGCAUAGGUGCAAUGGUGGUUGCUUCAGGGGAAAUAAUUUAAUUCAAGUACUUUGCAGUUUGCUAGGUGCCCUGGGGCAUAGUAUUCUUUGGGCCUCCUAAGGUUCUGAUGGUGAUGAACUGAUUUAACGUAUAGAAUAGUUUUUAAAUGUGAAGUGCUACAGGGACCACUAUGCAGGGAGCUGAAGGGCUAUUGAGCUGGACACUUGAGCAUUGGCUGCAUUGAAUGAUAAAUAUUGCACAAUAUUUCUCUUCCUCAAAAUAGAAAAUGACAAUGGAAAACUUUUAAUAAUGUCAACAUUGGUGACUAGAAAUACAUAUGUGCCUCCUUAUGAAAGCAGGGGUGGUGACUGAAUAGAAUUGUUUUGUUUUUAGAGAACGAUGUUUUUCUUUUUGUUUUUUCUUCUUUUAUAGUAUUUUACUUAAAAAUCCAAGUAAUAGUAUUCUACUGUAUUGCCUUGAAGAAGUAAAUUGAGAAAAGUCAGAACACUUAUGUAUUUUUAUUUAAAAACGAACGUUUUAGUCAGCACCCAAUGCAACAAAAGCAAACUAGAAAUUGCAUGUCAGCAAUAAAAUAACCAGGUUCUUAGAAGGGCGGCCUAAGUCAGCUCUACAGAUUCUCACCUUUGCUGAUUUAGCCGCAUGGAACCUAAUUAAUGGGUAGAUUAUACAUUUGCUCAACAAGUAUUAAUGGAGGUACUUGAAUGAACUGACAGGGCCCAGCCUUAUGCAGUGGUCCUCAAAGGCUUGUUCAUAUCUUGAUUUGGACAUCAAAAGAGAAGGCCGUCGCAGGAAAUCGGAGACCUUGAGCCUUUACAUGUCCACCUCAGAGACUAGACGUAACUGCCUGCUAGAAAUAGUGGCGUGAGGAAUGCGAAAGGGAGAAGUUGUUUGAAGGAUCUCAGACUCCAUGCCGUGUACUUUGAAGAUGAGCUUUAGAAAUUGCACAUCAAUAGUUACUGCAGAAGGAGCAAUAGGAACUGAGAACAUCUCACGCGGCUUAGUGCGACCGAUAAACACCAGCUGAAGCUUGUGUCCUGCACAAUAAACCUUAUUUGCUGAUCUCUGAAGGUGCAAAGCAGGGCACUACUGCUCAGCAGCCUCUGAUGACGAUUUAUAUGUUAACAAGCUGAAUUCCUGCUUCAUCUGGAGGACUGCACAGUGUAUCUGAGAGAGGAUUUUCAGGAGGCCAGAAAAUCAAGCUGGAGGGAUUUUCAGCGUGUUGGGAGAUUGCUACCUGUUUUAAGUCAGGCCAUUGCCACGUCUUUUUCCCCACCUUGGAGACUUCAGCUGUUUUCCUUCACUAAUAUUUCCAAAACACACAACAACAGUUGGCAUCGCUCGCAUAUAAACAGCUCUUCCAUGUCACUGAGAAAACGAGCAAGAUCCAGGGAGGAAAAAUGGAUACAGGAUAUAAAUAGAAAAUCCUCAAAACAGGAAUUUCAAAAUGUCAACAAACAGGCAAAACUUUCUUUCAACAGCGCUAUUAUGACUGGUAUGUUUCACUUGCUUUUUUUUUUUUUUUCUUUUUCUCCAGCAAAUUGCUCAAAUGUCGGUGUGCUCUCAUGAACAGAAACGAUGGCACGGUGGGUCCUGGUCUCAAGACUUCCUCUCAAUGAUUCAGAGGUCUUGGGGGUUUUUUGUCUGAAUAUCAGGCAAAGAGGAAGGACGGCUACAAUGGAGGAGUCUCCUACCACGCUUGUGGUCGUCACUGUAGUGCUCAGUUGAAUGGUGUGUCCAUUGGGGUUGGAGUCCCCAUCCUGUUCUGGGUCCUGGCCCCCCACAGGCUCCAGGGACAUAACCCUUCCAGUUCAGGAUCAUGUGCUGGGGCACUGUUCCCUGAGGUGGGACUCUGGGCUGUAACAGCUGCUUUUGAAGCAUGUUCCAGCUUCAACCACGUGCUUGGACGACACCAGCUCUUCCCACAUACUCUUCCCCAGCUCUUGUGUUGAGUUUGGCUUCCACCUUCCUCCAGCUGGGUCUCGCUAUGUUGCCCAAGCCAUUCUGGAGCUCCUGCGCUUAAGUGAUCCUCCUGCCUCAGCCUCCCAAGUAACUGGAAUUAUAAAUGUGAGCCACUGUGCCCAGCAAUUACAAAAUUUUUGGAAUGCAAUUGGGAAGUACAGCUGAAAAACUUCAGCAACGUGGGCUGUUUGAUUGUACAAUCGCACUUCUUGGAAUUUAUCCUACAGAAAUCAGUAGUCAAGUUCACAAAAACUGACAAUAGCCAUUACAGAGAAGCAGAAGAAAGGGAAAUAAAAACAUUCAAACCUACCAACAGGAGAUUGGAC
rnacentral:lncRNA from 1 species